AACAGGAACUCACCGGUGUCGGUGUAUUAUUAAUGUCAAAUCUUACCCUGCCAUCACCUGAGAUGUUGCUGGAGUUGUUAUCUGUGAAAAGUUUGUCACAUUUACGAAAGCUUCUAUGAAUUUGUUUUCCGUCUAAAAGCUUUUUCACCUCGUACGGUCAGUUGCUAUAAAAAGUGCUAGGCUAUGUUUACAAUAUGCUUCUAUGCUUUCAUAGGAGUUAUGCAGUAGGGUGAAGUAAGCAAAAGUGGGACUUUUUAUUUGUAAACUGUAUAUUUAAUACAGAUUAAUCUUUUGUAUUGAUGUUUUAAAACAAAUGUUCAAGUUUCUUAUAUCUCCAGCUGGUUUUUGAAGACUGUCAUGAUGCAGCUGAUACCUUUCGUGUCUCUGAGAAACACGGUGACAUUUCGUUACAAUGAUUCAGUGACCCUUAAAGAUUAUUAUUUUGCAUUUUGCAAUUUCUAAAAUUGUAUAAUUACAUCGGUACUCUCAUGAUAUUAUUAUGCAAUUAUAAUCGCAGGCAGCAGGUACCAUAUCCCUCGUCAGCAUUAAAUGGUCAGUGCUAAAGGUGCACGCGGGCAAAAGGGCAUUUGAUUUAAUUACCCUCUAAAACACUAGAUGCCAUAAAACGACGCCACAGCGAUUUCGUCAAUUGAGUUUCACUGUUUGCGCGUGGAAAUCCGGCUGAUUCUUGACGCGCUCGUGAGCAUCAUCAUGAUUCUGCUCUAAUCUGAUGGAACAGGCCUGGACAGCGCGUGCAUAAUUAUUAUGCACGUUGAUUUUCUGAUCCUAUUUUUUCCAAGCACAUUGUACCAAUUCCAAACCACAGCAAUGGUGACAGAUUGAAAUAUAGAUUCGGAUCUCCUCCGAAAAGGUUUUAAGAAACAUUCCGAAUCAUUAAUGUUUGUCUGUAUUUUAAAAAUAUAAAACAUAUUUCAGCGACAGUGUAUUUAUUGAACGAAAAUACAUUUGAUCAAAAUAGUACAAACUUUGCUCAAAAUGUCGUUUUGAACAAGUAUUAACUUAUUCUGCAAAACAACGCUCAUUGGUUCUCACCUUCGUCACAGAUUGCGACAUGCCGUGUUUCAGUGGAUUGACAUUUGAAAUGAGUGCGCGCUUUCACGGAGAGAAGCCGGAUUCAUCAUAUUUUCAUGGAUUAAUGAGUUAAAUUCUGCUCUGUACCCUAUAAAAAACUAUUACCGCCAGAGAAGACUGACUGGAACUCAUCAUCAUUUGAACUACUUUUGGUACCACUUUUGACAUUUUUCGCAAAUAAUAAAUUAUUGUGAUUACGCUUGUUUGUCUGUCAUUCUUUUAUUUAUAUUAGUAGGUAGUUUAAAGAAAUGGUUAUGGGUAGGUUUAGGGGUAGGUGUAGGAUUAGUGGCUCAAAAUAUCGUUUUAAUGUUAUAUUUUUACUAAAAUUGUCAUUUUCCUACACAUUUCUGUUCUUUAUUUUAUUCUUUUAACAUUCUGUAUAAAAUGGUUAGGUUUAAGUUCGGGAUGGGGUUUAGGGAUCUUACAUUUAUCUACAAAACGAUAAAAGGGAAAUUAUACAUAUAUCUUUAAGACAUGAUAAGAUUCGUAAAUAUUUUACGUUUUUUUUCGCUGUAAAAACGUAAGUAUUUUUACGUUUUAGUGCCAUAAUUACGUCAAUAUUGUACGUUUUAGCACCUUUCUAAACGUACAAAAAUGUACGUUUUGUAUCUUUGAAAGUUACGUAUUAAUACCUACGUAUUAACAAUGAGACCAGGCUGUGAUAUCAGUGCCGUAAACCAUGUCGUAACGCUUCUCGAGGGUGUCGCGACUUUCAAAUUUGAAUCAUAGCGAGCGCGAGCUUUGACUGUGACUGUCGCUGUUGCUGAGAAUGAAGAUGAAGAUCGAUGGAUAAAGGGCUGAAUUUGGAUCUGUUCCUUACAAACAUAUGGAUUCUAAAGAUUUGGAGUACAGUGAACAAAUAAAAUGGGUGUGAUUUGUGAAUUUAUGUUGUGUUUUGGUGUAUCUUAAGGUUGUAUUGUCAGUCACUGCAUAGGAGAAAACACCUUCUGUGUCUCACAGCAAACAAACUAAAUAUUACAAAAUGGUUAAACAAUUACAGAAAAUUUAUUCAUAAGGUUUUAAACUGUAGUCUUGUUUAACAUUAUGUAAUCCUCCGAAACGAGCAGCACAAGUCACGAACAGAAAUGUUAUUUCAUAUUAAGUAGAUGAGUAAACUGCUUUCAAUAAAUUCGACUAAAAACAUCGUUAAAUCAUUAAAGCCACGAUAUUUAAUAUUAAUACAUGGAAAUUCAUAUACAUUCACACUUUACGUUACAUGAUUUACGUUUUUAUUGCUGUUAAUACGUAAGUAUUUUUACGUUUUAGUCCUCUAAAUACGUCAAUGUACGUUUUUGUGUGUAUGAAAACGUAAGUAAAUGUACGUGUGGUAGAACCACAAUUUACGUAAAAAUACACACGUUUUCUCAUGAGAUCACGUUGAUCUGUCUGUAAAUGCUUCUUCAAUAACUGUUCAUAGUUUAAUCCCCUUGACUUCAGUCAUGUCCAGUUUCUCUUCUUCUUCCACACAUGUUUCCUGCAGUGAUUGUGAUUAUUGUUGAGAUGGCAGUGUUUGCUGCUCCUACUGUGAUUCUUCUUCAGAUCAUCUGUGCAAGAAGAGCUGGGAGGAAGGACUCGCAGCACCCAGAGGAAAUAGAGAUGCCUACAAUAUUACAAUAAAAUACUGCUGAGUUUGGAGACAAUCUGAAACAAGAUUUAAGUCAAGUGAAGUCACCUCAAAGCAGCUUUACAGCAGUAACAGGAAAAAUAAUGCUUUGUUUGUCAAAUAUGUCAUUGUUCAGCUUAAGUCAGUUAUUUUGCUUAAAAUAGCAAAGACUUACAGAGGACUGUUCACUGUUUUAUUUAUUUAUUCUUCUCAGAAAACAGAAAAAAUCAUCUGAGCACCCUGAAGAAAUAGUGAUACCAUCAAGUUUAGAUUCAAAUAUUUUUGCAAAUAACAGGCAAGAUAUUUGCGUUUAGUGUUGAAUGUCAUUUUCUUGUGGUUCGUUUAUAAACUGCUUUGAAUACAAUAUUAAAUACAGCAAUAGACAGA